AUAUCACGUUAAAACACUGGUUCCUGCACGAUCACCGAAGUUAUGCAACAUCGAUUCUGGUCAGUACCUAGAUAGGUGACCGCUUGGGAAUACCAGGGGCUGUAA